rnacentral:rRNA from 1 species
GAUGAACGCUAGCGGCAGGCUUAAUACAUGCAAGUCGUGGGGCAGCAGGGGUGUAGCAACACAUCUGCUGGCGAACGGCAAACGGGUGCGUAACACGUACGCAACCUUCCCGUUACUGUGGCAUAGCCCAGGGAAACUUGGAUUAAUAACCCAUAUUAUAUAGAGAGGGCAUCCUUUUUAUAUCAAAGCUUCGGCGGUAACGGAUGGGCGUGCGGGUGAUUAGGUAGUUGGCGGGGUAACGGCCCACCAAGCCUACGAUCAAUAGCUGAUGUGAGAGCAUGAUCAGCCACACGGGCACUGAGACACGGGCCCGACUCCUACGGGAGGCAGCAGUAAGGAAUAUUGGGCAAUGGACGAAAGUCUGACCCAGCCAUGCCGCGUGAAGGAUUAAGGUUCUCUGGAUUGUAAACUUCUUUUCUCUGGGGCGAAAACCAGCUAUUCUUAGCUAUUUGACAGUACCAGAGGAAUAAGCACCGGCUAACUCCGUGCCAGCCGCCGCGGUAAAAC